rnacentral:tRNA from 1 species
CUGGGUGUGGCGCAGUUUGGUAGCGCGCUUGAAUGGGGUUCAAGAGGCCGGGGGUUCGAUUCCCUCCACUCAGACCA